rnacentral:misc_RNA from 1 species
CUUUCGCCUUAAACCACUACAUUAUUUAGGUUUUCAAUGUCAGUUUGGUUCUAAUAUUGAAAAUCUUCCAGGAAAUAAGAAUAUUUGGAUUUCAUGAAAAUUUGAUGAAUUUAGGUUUUUACUUGUAUUAGUAAAAAACCCUAGGCUUGUGCAUGAAUUUACGAGAUUAUAAUUUUUCAGCUCUAAAUCCUUUUGCUGGAGAAAUAGUUAACUGUUGUUCAAUUGAGCAGGUAGUCUGCAUCAUAACUCUAUAAAUUUU